rnacentral:tRNA from 1 species
AUUGAUGUAGUUUAAAAAAAAAUUUAGAUUUGUGGUAUCUAAGAUGUAAAAUUUACCUUCAAUCGUGUCUAAG